AGCAGAUUAAAACUACAUAACAACUUGUUUGCUUCAACCAUGGCAUUGAGAUUUGAUUAAUAAAGUUGCAUCAUUUGGCUUUUGGUAUUGAUUGGAUAAACCUUCAAAUUCUUUAUCUUCCACAAACACCUCAAACAUAGCACCACAACCUCCAGAUACAUCUACAACGUUGACGCUUGCCUAUAAGAGAAAUCUGCCAAUUAAUAACUGGUGUAUUUGCUGCUGGGCGUUGUUUUGUUGAACUGACGAUAAAAAUCGUGUUAAAAUCGAGAGUUGGUUGUCUGUUAUUUGCAUCUGUUUGACAAAAGGCUUACGAGUGAUGUGAAAAUCUAAAUGCUUAAUGUGUGUACAUAUGUAUACAUUGUACAUUACAGUAUUAUGUAGUAUACCAUAGUACAGUGUACUAUCUACUGUUAUGGAAUAAAUCACUUCGAAAAGAACUUA